rnacentral:rRNA from 1 species
UACGAAGGGUGCAAGCGUUACUCGGAAUUACUGGGCGUAAAGGGUGCGUAGGUGGUUCUUUAAGUCUGCUGUGAAAGUCAAGGGCUCAACCCUUGGAUGCCGGUGGAUACUGCAGGGCUAGAGUCCGGAAGAGGCGAGUGGAAUUCCUGGUGUAGCGGUGAAAUGCGCAGAUAUCAGGAGGAACACCGGUGGCGAAAGGCGGGGUCUCUGGGCCGAUACUGACGCUGAGGAGCGAAAAGCGUGGGGGAGCGAACGG